rnacentral:rRNA from 1 species
GACGAACGCUGGCGGCGUGCUUAACACAUGCAAGUCGAACGGGUCUGCCCUGUUUUUUGCGGGGUGGGUCAGUGGCGAACGGGUGAGUAGCACGUGAGUAACCUGCCCCUCACUUCUGGAUAACCGCUUGAAAGGGUGGCUAAUACGGGGUGUUCUGGCUGUGCCGCAUGGUGUGGCUGGGAAAGAUUCACUUUUGUGGUGUUUUGGUGGGGGAUGGGCUCGCGGCCUAUCAGCUUGUUGGUGGGGUGAUGGCCUGCCAAGGCGUUGACGGGUAGCCGGCCUGAGAGGGUGGGCGGUCACACUGGGACUGAGAUACGGCCCAGACUCCUGCGGGAGGCAGCAGUGGGGGGUAUUGCACAAUGGGCGGAAGCCUGAUGCAGCGACGUCGCGUGAGGGAUGGAGGCCUUCGGGUUGUGAACCUUUUUCGCCGGUGAAGAAGGUCCUGCUCUUUGUGGUGGGGUUGACGGUAGCCGGGUUAUGAAGCGCCGGCUAACUACGUG